rnacentral:misc_RNA from 1 species
GAUGAAGAACGUAGCGAAAUGCGAUAAGUAAUGCGAAUUGCAGAAUUCCAGUGAGUCAUCGAAUCUUUGAACGCACAUUGCGCCCGCCAGCAUUCUGGCGGGCAUGCCUGUUCGAGCGUCAUUUCAACCCUCGACCUCCCCUUGGGGAGGUCGGCGUUGGGGACCGGCAGCACACCGCCGGCCCUGAAAUGGAGUGGCGGCCCGUCCGCGGCGACCUCUGCGCAGUAAUACAGCUCGCACCGGGACCCCGACGCGGCCACGCCGUAAAACACCCAACUUCUGAACGUUGACCUCGAAUCAGGUAGGACUACCCGCUGAACUUAAGCAUAUCAAUAAGCGGAGGA